GUGGGGAAUAUUGGACAAUGGGCGAAAGCCUGAUCCAGCCAUGCCGCGUGUGUGAAGAAGGUCUUCGGAUUGUAAUGCACUUUAAGUUGGGAGGAAGGGCAGUAAGCUAAUACCUUGCUGUUUUGACGUUACCAACAGAAUAAGCACCGGCUAACUUCGUGCCAGCAGCCGCGGUAAUACGAAGGGUGCAAGCGUUAAUCGGAAUUACUGGGCGUAAAGCGCGCGUAGGUGGUUCAGCAAGUUGGAGGUGAAAUCCCCGGGCUCAACCUGGGAACUGCCUCCAAAACUACUGAGCUAGAGUACGGUAGAGGGUAGUGGAAUUUCCUGUGUAGCGGUGAAAUGCGUAGAUAUAGGAAGGAACACCAGUGGCGAAGGCGACUACCUGGACUGAUACUGACACUGAGGUGCGAAAGCGUGGGGAGCAAACAGGAUUAGAAACCCGUGUAGUCC
rnacentral:rRNA from 1 species